rnacentral:rRNA from 1 species
GACGAACGCUGGCGGCGUGCCUAAUACAUGCAAGUCGAGCGGACCGGAUUGGGGCUUGCCUUGAUUCGGUCAGCGGCGGACGGGUGAGUAACACGUGGGCAACCUGCCCGCAAGACCGGGAUAACUCCGGGAAACCGGAGCUAAUACCGGAUAACACCGAAGACCGCAUGGUCUUCGGUUGAAAGGCGGCCUUUGGGCUGUCACUUGCGGAUGGGCCCGCGGCGCAUUAGCUAGUUGGUGAGGUAACGGCUCACCAAGGCGACGAUGCGUAGCCGGCCUGAGAGGGUGACCGGCCACACUGGGACUGAGACACGGCCCAGACUCCUACGGGAGGCAGCAGUAGGGAAUCUUCCGCAAUGGGCGAAAGCCUGACGGAGCGACGCCGCGUGAGCGAAGAAGGCCUUCGGGUCGUAAAGCUCUGUUGUGAGGGACGAAGGAGCGUCGUUCGAAGAGGGCGGCGCGGGGACGGUACCUCACGAGAAAGCCCCGGCUAACUACGU